GAUGAACGCUGACAGAAUGCUUAACACAUGCAAGUCAACUUGAAUUUGGGUUUUUAACUUAGAUUUGGGUGGCGGACGGGUGAGUAACGCGUAAAGAACUUGCCUCACAGCUAGGGACAACAUUUAGAAAUGAAUGCUAAUACCUGAUAUUAUGAUUUUAAGGCAUCUUAGAAUUAUGAAAGCUAUAAGCACUGUGAGAGAGCUUUGUGUCCCAUUAGCUAGUUGGAGAGGUAACAGCUCACCAAGGCGAUGAUGGGUAGCCGGCCUGAGAGGGUGAACGGCCACAAGGGGACUGAGACACGGCCCUUACUCUUACGCGAGACAGCAGUGGGGAAUAUUGGACAAUGGACCGAGAGACUGAUCCAGCAAUUCUGUGUGCACGAUGAAGAUUUUCGGAGUGUAAAGUGCUUUCAGUUGGGAAGAGAGAGAUGACGGUACCAACAGAAGAGGAGACACCUAAAUACGUGCCAGCAGCCGCGGUAAUACGUAUGUCACGAGCGUUAUCUGGAUAUAUAGUGCGUAAAGCGCGUCUAGAUGGUUAUAUAAGACUGAAUGAAAAUACGCGGCUCUACUCUGUAUUUCGUUGUGCACUGUGUAACUAGAGUACUGUAGAGAGAAGCGCAACUACAAGUGUAGAGGUGAAAUUUUGUAGAUAUUUGUGUGGAUACGGAGAGGGAGCCACAUUACUUUACAGAAAUUGAUGCUCAAGCGCGGAAGAGAGGGUGCAAAAGGUUUGAUAUCCUUUUAGUGCAAGUGUGUCAUUCGCAACGAGGAUUGGCACGGAGAGCGGUAGGUCGGAGCGCCCUCUCUCGGUGGAGUCGAUUUGUCUCUGCGUGUGCUCUCGCCUCGCCUCUACAGUAUAUAUAGCAAUCACUUGAGUUCGUGUGUGUGUUUUUUCUUGUUGAGUGGAGGAGAAAGAGUAAUAAGAUUUAUAAUUAAUAUUUAUUCUAC
rnacentral:rRNA from 1 species